rnacentral:lncRNA from 1 species
UCCAAGAGUUGAAACACAUUCUGGGGGAGGGGUAAGAUUUGUCCAGCUGUUUGCCAAAAUUUGAUCCACACUUUGUAGGAAAAAGGACAGUGCAGCAAAAGGUGGGAGACAAUCUCCUCCGAUUGACAGCACAUAACACAUCGAUUCGGGACGAUGAUUCCUCGCCGGCGGAGGUUGUCAACAGUAGUUAUCGAGUUUGAGCUCGCAAGCCAUGAGAAUCAGCAUACCUUGGUUGGAAUCCAUGGAAUCCAUAUGGUGGAGAUUGGGAAAUGAGCAUUGUCGGGGAAAUUCCUAAGCAGCAGCACCGCCCUGAAAGACUUGACGGAGAAACCAUGCAGCUUGUCUGGACUCCACGUAAGGGAAGGCGGUCCGUCCAUCACGGUAUCCGCUAGCCGGUCAUGCAGCAGCUGUAGGAGUCUCGUCAGCUCCGCAAGAGCACCACCAUGCAGGUUGUAAACCAGAUCAAUAUUCCAUUCAAGCCUGUCACCGAAACCACAAACGUCAGUAAUAAAUGCGUCCGGGAGUUGCGCAGCUGCCGCAAACAUCGGAAAGUCCCUCACCAAGUGUUUCCCGGACACCCAAUAGUCGUGCCAAAAUCUCACCCUCUCCCCACCCCCGGAUCGACAAAGGCAAGGUCCCAGAAGCCCGUACUCACUAUCCAAACCCAGAACCAGAUGGAAAAACCAGAGGAAACUCCAGAACAAGCCGACCGCCAAUCGGAACCUCUUUCCAAGCCAAAUUUCAGCUUGAAAAGCUCCCUUCCGUCCCAAAUCUCCAAAUCCACUUUCCAAGAAGAGCAACA